AUACGUAGGUGGCAAGCGUUGUCCGGAAUUACUGGGUGUAAAGGGCGUGUAGGCGGGGAAGCAAGUCAGAUGUGAAAUUCCGGGGCUCAACCCCGGCGCUGCAUCUGAAACUGUUUCUCUUGAGUGCUGGAGAGGAAAGCGGAAUUCCUAGUGUAGCGGUGAAAUGCGUAGAUAUUAGGAGGAACACCAGUGGCGAAGGCGGCUUUCUGGACAGUAACUGACGCUGAGGCGCGAAAGCGUGGGGAGCGAACAGGAUUAGAUACCCUGGUAGUCCACGCCGUAAACGAUGGAUACUAGGUGUAGGAGGUAUCGACCCCUUCUGUGCCGGAGUUAACACAAUAAGUAUCCCACCUGGGGAGUACGGCCGCAAGGUUGAA
rnacentral:rRNA from 1 species